GCUUCUCUAUAUCAAUGAUAGAUUGUCACCCUUGUAAGGUGAAGGUUAUAGGUUUGAGUCCUAUGAGAAGCUCA
rnacentral:tRNA from 1 species